rnacentral:rRNA from 1 species
GAUGAACGCUGGCGGCGUGCCUAAUACAUGCAAGUCGAGCGAACAGACGAGGAGCUUGCUCCUCUGACGUUAGCGGCGGACGGGUGAGUAACACGUGGAUAACCUACCUAUAAGACUGGGAUAACUUCGGGAAACCGGAGCUAAUACCGGAUAACAUGUUGAACCGCAUGGUUCAACAGUGAAAGACGGUCUUGCUGUCACUUAUAUAUGGAUCCGCGCCGCAUUAGCUAGUUGGUAAGGUAACGGCUUACCAAGGCAACGAUGCGUAGCCGACCUGAGAGGGUGAUCGGCCACACUGGAACUGAGACACGGUCCAGACUCCUACGGGAGGCAGCAGUAGGGAAUCUUCCGCAAUGGGCGAAAGCCUGACGGAGCAACGCCGCGUGAGUGAAGAAGGUCUUCGGAUCGUAAAACUCUGUUAUUAGGGAAGAACAAAUGUGUAAGUAACUAUGCACGUCUUGACGGUACCUAAUCAGAAAGCCACGGCUAACUACGUG